rnacentral:lncRNA from 1 species
CAAAUAUAGUCCCUAGUGUUGACAGUGGGUUACUUGCCAUUAAUUUUUAUACCCCUUCCAAAUUUAUUUCUCCAUGUUUAAUGCCUCAUAUUGCAAGUAGGGGGGUGAAAUUACACUGUAAAAAAAAAUUGGGUCCAGAAUUUUAAAGGAAAGUAGUGAUUUGGUCCAGGUGAAAAAGGUUGAAAAAUAGCACUUCGGAAGCUGUCAAAAGAUUUCAAGACGCCCUAAAUAAAAUUGUCCAUAUUUUGAGUUAGAGGCGAUGAAGUUUUCUAUAAUUUUGAUAUAAUUUGUCCCAAAAGUAGUACAACACACUGUAAAAGUUUCUUUGAGAAAGUGCAGGUGGGAUUUUUUUUUAUUUUCAUUUAUGUUCUAAAAGAAAUGCACUACGAAAUAAUUGUGGUCUCGGACCAUGUAUU